UUUUUACCUAAAACAGAUUAAUAGAUUCGUUUAUCUGAGGUAACACACUAUAUACCAGAAAUGAAAAUGAAUGUAAAAUUUCUAACUUGCUUAAUUGCAUUUAUUCUGAUCUUCUUGAACUCGUCAGUUAUGGCAUUUAAUGCCAAUGGAUAUAAAGAAGUGCCUCGUGAAUCUAUGGAUCUGGAGAAGUUUGAGAACCUGUUUGAAGAGAACCAGAUUUGAUCAAAUGAACAUUGAACAAUGAAAAGAGGAGAGCAACGUGUUUUGUGUAGUGUUAAAUAUAAUACACCGAUAAUUCUUGUGUGAUUCAUAAUAAUUACCUUUUUGAAUAGA